rnacentral:rRNA from 1 species
UACAGAGGUCCCAAGCGUUGUUCGGAUUCACUGGGCGUAAAGGGUGCGUAGGUGGCCGGGUAAGUCUGAUGUGAAAUCUCCGAGCUCAACUUGGAAAUGGCAUUGGAUACUAUUCGGCUCGAGGGUCGGAGGGGAGACUGGAAUUCUCGGUGUAGCAGUGAAAUGCGUAGAUAUCGAGAGGAACACCAGUGGCGAAGGCGAGUCUCUGGACGACUCCUGACACUGAGGCACGAAAGCUAGGGGAGCAAACAGG